ACAGCUGGCGGCGUGCCUAAUACAUGCAAGUCGAGCGAACUGAUUAGAAGCUUGCUUCUAUGACGUUAGCGGCGGACGGGUGAGUAACACGUGGGCAACCUGCCUGUAAGACUGGGAUAACUUCGGGAAACCGAAGCUAAUACCGGAUAGGAUCUUCUCCUUCAUGGGAGAUGAUUGAAAGAUGGUUUCGGCUAUCACUUACAGNAUGGGCCCGCGGUGCAUUAGCUAGUUGGUGAGGUAACGGCUCACCAAGGCAACGAUGCAUAGCCGACCUGAGAGGGUGAUCGGCCACACUGGGACUGAGACACGGCCCAGACUCCUACGGGAGGCAGCAGUAGGGAAUCUUCCGCAAUGGACGAAAGUCUGACGGAGCAACGCCGCGUGAGUGAUGAAGGCUUUCGGGUCGUAAAACUCUGUUGUUAGGGAAGAACAAGUACGAGAGUAACUGCUCGUACCUUGACGGUACCUAACCAGAAAGCCACGGCUAACUACGUGCCAGCAGCCGCGGUAAUACGUAGGUGGCAAGCGUUAUCCGGAAUUAUUGGGCGUAAAGCGCGCGCAGGCGGUUUCUUAAGUCUGAUGUGAAAGCCCACGGCUCAACCGUGGAGGGUCAUUGGAAACUGGGGAACUUGAGUGCAGAAGAGAAAAGCGGAAUUNCACGUGUAGCGGUGAAAUGCGUAGAGAUGUGGGAGGAACACCAGUGGCGAAGGCGGCUUUUUUCUUGACGCUGAGGCGCGAAAGCGUGGGGAGCAAC
rnacentral:rRNA from 1 species